rnacentral:pre_miRNA from 1 species
UAAUAAGAGGAAGAGCUUCUUUACUUCAAAAGAGGGUUUAGCAAGGUGAAGCAAAGCUCUAUGCUAUGGAUCCCAUAAGCCUUAUCAAACUAAAACUAAUUGAUGAUAUUAUGGAUUCCAUAUUUACGGAGCUUUCACUUACCCUUUUAAUGGCUUUCACUCUUUUUUGGAUGAAGGAAACUCUUCAUCUCUCCCCA